rnacentral:rRNA from 1 species
GUCGAGGGGUAACAGAGAAGCUUGCUUCUGCUGACGACCGGCGCACGGGUGCGUAACGCGUAUGCAACCUACCUCAUACUGGAGCAUAGCCCUUGGAAACGGGGAUUAAUACUCCAUGGUAUCAUUUUUUCGCAUGUUAAAAUGAUUAAAGAAUUUCGGUAUGAGAUGGGCAUGCGUCCCAUUAGCUAGUUGGUGAGGUAACGGCUCACCAAGGCGACGAUGGGUAGGGGGCCUGAGAGGGUGGUCCCCCACACUGGUACUGAGACACGGACCAGACUCCUACGGGAGGCAGCAGUGAGGAAUAUUGGUCAAUGGAGGCAACUCUGAACCAGCCAUGCCGCGUGAAGGAUGACGGCCCUAUGGGUUGUAAACUUCUUUUAUAUGGGAAGAAACUUAUCUACGUGUAGAUAACUGACGGUACCAUACGAAUAAGGAUCGGCUAACUCCGUGCCAGCAGCCGCGGUAAUACGGAGGAUCCAAGCGUUAUCCGGAUUCAUUGGGUUUAAAGGGUCCGUAGGCGGAUUUUUAAGUCAGUGGUGAAAGCCGGCAGCUCAACUGUCGAACUGCCAUUGAUACUGGAAAUCUUGAGUACAAAUGAAGUAGGCGGAAUGAGUCAUGUAGCGGUGAAAUGCAUAGAUAUGACUCAGAACACCGAUUGCGAAGGCAGCUUACUAACAUGUAACUGACGCUGAGGGACGAAAGCGUGGGGAGCGAACAGGAUUAGAUACCCUGGUAGUCC